AAGCCCACGGCUCAACCGUGGAGGGUCAUUGGAAACUGGGGAACUUGAGUGCAGAAGAGAAAAGCGGAAUUCCACGUGUAGCGGUGAAAUGCGUAGAGAUGUGGAGGAACACCAGUGGCGAAGGCGGCUUUUUGGUCUGUAACUGACGCUGAGGCGCGAAAGCGUGGGGAGCAAACAGGAUUAGAUACCCUGGUAGUCCACGCCGUAAACGAUGAGUGCUAAGUGUUAGAGGGUUUCCGCCCUUUAGUGCUGCAGCUAACGCAUUAAGCACUCCGCCUGGGGAGUACGGUCGCAAGACUGAAACUCAAAGGAAUUGACGGGGGCCCGCACAAGCGGUGGAGCAUGUGGUUUAAUUCGAAG
rnacentral:rRNA from 1 species